AGGACGAACGCUGGCGGCGCGCUUAACACAUGCAAGUCGAGCGAGAACCCAGGCUUCGGCCUGGGGGAAAGCGGCGAACGGGUGAGUAACACGUGGGUAAUCUGCCCUCGACAUCGGGAUAGCCCGGGGAAACCCGGAUUAAUACCGAAUAGCCCAACAGCUUUUCGGAGCGGUUGGAAAAGGUAGCUUUGGCCUCCGGUCGAGGAGGAGCUCGCGGCGGAUUAGCUUGUUGGUGAGGUAACGGCUCACCAAGGCGUCGAUCCGUAGCUGGUCUGAGAGGACGAUCAGCCACACUGGGACUGAGACACGGCCCAGACUCCUACGGGAGGCAGCAGUGGGGAAUCUUGCGCAAUGGGCGAAAGCCUGACGCAGCGACGCCGCGUGAGGGAAGAAGGCCUCGGGUUGUAAACCUCUUUCAGGAGGGACGAAGCCACUCGGGUUAAUAGCCAGAGGGUGACGGUACCUCCAGAAGAAGCCCGGCUAACUACGUGCCAGCAGCCGC
rnacentral:rRNA from 1 species